GUGACUUGGGGAGUGGGAGGGCUUCCCCGGCGCAGCCGAGGGCGGCGGCGCCACUAGGGGCUGCCUUCGCGUCCAGGCAAGUCCCAGCGCGGGCUUUGACUCAAAACUUGAACUCGGGGUGGGAGGUGGGGAACUUGCACGUCGGCCCCCCUCCCCCGCCCCGGGGGACCUGCACGGGGCUGGUCCCUCGGUGAGGGAGGUCGGACGGCGCAGCGGGCGGCGGGGCGGGGCGAGGAGCGCCGGCGCGGUCGCCCUCCUUCGGUUUUGCACUCACGCCCCCUCCUGGCGUCCCCGCAUCACCUCCCGCCGUCGCCGCCGUCGCCCUCGGCCGGCGGCCGCCGCCGUCUGGAGGCGGCGAUGACUCAGGCCUUUGCCGCACGGGCCGCUCGGGGAGCCGGAAGCGCCCGAUCGGGGUGCUGGGGGUCCUGAACCGUCUCGACCCCUCUAAGAAGCAGGUUCUGCCCCUACGUGACCUCCAGCAGUGGCUACACCGGUCUGUCUCAGUUUCCUCAACUGUAAAGUGGUUCUGGGACCUGGUCUCUCCCUGAGCUCGGAGUUCUGUGAUUGGGCUAAGCUGGCCAGUCUAGGAGCCCCGGAGGGCCUGCCUCAGCUUCCCCAGCAGCGAGCCCUGGGACCUCACGUCUGACUUGGACGGUGGCUAAGGAAGAUCCUUUGAGAUGGGAGGAUUCACCUUUAAUCUGGGCCACACCUUCUGCUGGCAGCCUCUAUAGAGGACAUAGAAGAAGGAAAAUUUUGCUCUUUGCCAGCUUGCCCUCGCUCCCACUAGCGUGUUCAUUCCUUCACUGCCAUUAGAGCCUACUUCUUUGAUAUCCCGGUAUAUAUUCUGAAGACCAGAUGAGACAUCUCACCUCAUAGGAUGAACAAAUAUUGGAUUCUUGAACUUUCCAUUGGCAGACAGCCAUUGCUGGACCAGCUGGACCACAGCCUGUGAGCCACUCUGACAAACCUAAAUAAGUAAAUGAAUAUAUACACAUAUAUUCAUUCUAUCAGUUCUGUUCCUUAGUGAACCCUGACUAAUGUACACACACCAAAGAAUUCUGGCUUUAUCUCACACCCUAGGCUUGGUCCUGAUGGACUCACAGAAACUAGAGCUUAUGGCCUUUGAACCCUUCUUCCACCCUCCACAGUCCUUUUCUUCAGGACAGAACCAAAGCCAGCUCUUCUGUGUGUGGGUGUUCGUGUACAUUCGGGAGUGUGGGGCACAUGCACACUUGCUCAAGUAGGUAGACCAGAUGUCUUCCUCUAUGGGUGCCAAACUUCUGGGCUUUUUCUUUGUUUGUUCGGUUUGUUUUGUUUUGUUGGGUCUCUCUGUGUCGUCCUGGCUGUCCUGCAACUCACUCUGUAGACCAGGCUGGUCUUGAACUCAGAGAUCCGCCUGCCUCUGCCCUGGAGUGCUGAGAUUAAAGGCGCAUGCCACCACCUCCUGGCUCCAACUUAUGUUUUAGCAAAGAUUUCUCUUUGAAUGUAGAGCUCGUCGAUUGGGCCAGGCUGGCUGCCAGAGGCCCUACAGUCCUUCUGUCCCUGCAGCCCUAGGACACAGUGCACACAGCGGCACUUUCCUGACUGAGCCAUCUCGUCAGCCCAUCUUUUUGAGUCAGGGCCUCGCUGUGUGGCUCUGGUGAUGUGAGAACUCUCCACGUAAAGCAGGCUGCCCUUGAACUCACAGACAUUUACCUGCCUCUGCCUCCCAAGCACUGGAACUAAAGGCAGGCACUACUACUCUCAGCAAUAAGCCCCACAGUGAAAAUGUGUCAACAAGGCUGCGGGUGGAGCUCAGUGGUAGAGUGCUUUCCCGGCAUGCGUGAAGCUCUGUGUUCAAUCCCCAGAACAGCAAAUUAAACAAAAACAAAAACGAGGAUGGAUGGAGAAGCACAGAGAUGCUGAGAAACCUUCCCGAAGUCACCCAGCAUUCGGUCUCAGAGUCCAUAUGGAGCUGAUUCAUUUGGACUGAUUCAUAGUGGAGAAGAGUGGGAGAGACUCCUACCUUACACUAUACACAAACAUCAGUCCUCUGGGUUCUGGGAGGGUAUGUUAGUGGGUAAUGUUUGCUGUGCAAGCGUAGGUCCUGAGUUUGGCCCCCAGAACCCACAUUAAAAAUAAUAAUA